CUGCUGGUUCCAAAGUGAUGGGGCUGCUGGUGCCAUGGUCGUUGUUAGUGUAGAGAGGAACUGCUGAGGGGUAUUUCCCUGUGUUUGGAGGGUCCACACCUGUCCCUUCUGAACCCUGGAGCUUUCCACA
rnacentral:snoRNA from 1 species